GCCAUUUCCUAAAGUACAUAAAUCUCUUCAUGAGUCUUACUGGUUCUGGUAUCUGGAGAACCCUGGUAAUUUAGUCGCCUUUGAGAGGAGUCUUUCCUGGACUCCUGUAGCAGCAGCAAAAGUGUGGAGCACGACUGCAGAUGUCAGUGGCGCCCACAGGAGGAAGACCUUGCAGCUUCUGUCUGACUGCUGUGUUCUUCUGCUGUGUGUGUUCUUCUGCUGUGUGCUGGAAGAACACAGGAAGAAUGAAAGAAUGAAAACAGAGGCUGAAGAUGACAGAAAGGGUCUGCAGAGAGGAGAAGGGGUGUGGUAAGACCAAAUACAUUCGGAGCAGUAGGCUUUUGGGAAUAGUGCACACCUGCUUGAGUUGUGCAGGCCACAGAAGUGGAAGUGUGAGAGUCGACCCCCCUGCUACAACCCCCUCCCCAGAGCGGAGAAUGAAAGGGUUAACUCCCUAACUCCCCAGAGCGGGGAAUGAAAGGGUUAACUCCCUAACUCCCCAGAGCGGGGAAUGAAAGGGUUAACUCCCUAACUCCCCAGAGCAGGGAAUGAAAGGGUUGACUCCCUAACUCCCCGGAGCUCUCAGAACAGAGCAGUAAAGAGUGCUUCACUCCCUAAACCUUUCCCAGGAGAUAGUCAGAGCAGGGCCAAAAAGAAUGUACUGUAUAAACAGGACCAGGGAGCACCUGGCACUCUAAGGUCAACCCAAGACCCUCGGUCUCCAUGGUUACUCAGCCCCAGACCCUCAAAUUAGCAUUAGCCAGGUCCUGCGCCGCUCAGAAUUAACCAAUGCGAUUUGCUUCUGUAAACUUGCUUGCCUCCUGCGUGUAUCUUUAAAAACCCUGCACAAAUUCCCCUCGGGGCCCCUCUGCACUUGUUUGCCUGAGGGACCCCAUGCGCAUGGAAAUAAACUUUUUUUCCUCACCAAGAGUUGAGUCCUUGGGGUCUCUUUCCCUGCGGCGUCGGCCCUAACAUCUUGGAGGCCCCACCGAGAUAGCACGUCUCACGGAAGGUGACCUCAACGGCUCUGCGGUGGGUGAGUACGACCGGUCGCUUCUUAUUUUUACUCUGAGGAUCAAUCUACCGGUAUUUUACGCCCCGAGCCAAACGGCUCCGGUCUAGGGGCAAUUUUUGUUACCUGUUUUUGUUAUCUGUUCUCUGUUCUUGGGUGAUCGGGGGACGCCCCACACGGUUUUCCGUGACUCACCGUCUGCGAUAGGAUUUUCCUAUCGGUUUGGGGCCCAAUCUGUGGUCCGUCAGGGCCAAUUCGGAGACACCCUCCGAGGUGACUCGUUUGGGGAAUUUCAUUCCCAAUCUGUGGUCCGUCUGGGCCAAUCUGGGGAAUUUCAUUCCCAAUCUGUGGUCCGUCCGGGCCAAUCUGGAGGCACCCCCUAAGGUGACUCGUUUGAUGUGAAACUAAUGCGUGAGAGUGAGGUGGCCGGCCUGUUUGUCCUGUGUGUUGUGACUGUUGUGAUCGGUUAUUUGUUGUGUCGCGCGUACGCUAACCACUCUUUGUCUUCAGAACACCAUGGGACAAAUGACAUCGUCCCCAUUGUCCCUCACCCUCGACCAUUGGUCGGAGGUUCGAGAGAGGGCUCACAAUCUCUCCUUUCAGGUUAAAAAAGUAAAUGGCAGACUUUCUGCUCGUCUGAGUGGCCCACAUUCUCCGUGGAUUGGCCACCAGAGGGGACUUUCCACCUUCCCCUCAUCUUAGCAGUUAAGAACAUCAUCUUCCGCCCUGGACGAGAGAGCCACCCCGACUGGGUCACCUACAUCUUGUCCCUACAGACACUCCAACCUGUGUUGGCCUGGAUCCACCAGCUGUUUAGACAAAAACACUUGGACCUGCCUUCAGAGACCAAGGCCUCAAGGACUCCAGUCUUGGUUCGAUGUCACCACCGUGACUCCCUUAAACCCCGCUGAGAAAGACCUUUCACCGUGGUGCUCAAUACCCCCACUGCCAUCAAGGUAGCAGGAAAAACUGCGCGGAUUCACUACACUCAUGUAAAGCCACUGGAAACAGCAGACAACGAGGGACAUACUCAGUGGACUACACAACAGACUGGUAACCCUUAAAGUUAAAAAUUGACUAACUGUUUUAGCUUGCUUGUUUUGAUUUUAAUAACAUUAAUGCCGACCUUACAUGGCGGCUUUGGUCCCCCUGUAAGCAAAAAAAAAAACCAAUUGUUAAAGAUCUUUUGUUUUAAAAAAAAAAAAAAAGGGGGGUCUCUGCGCCGCACUAAAAAAAAAAAUGUUGUUUUUACACUGAUCAUACUGGGAUUGUAAAAGAUACAAUAAAAAAGUUGAGAGAGAAAAUCAGAUCUCAAGAGCCCCCUUCAAAUAAAGCCAAAGUGUUCUCUUUCCGAGAAUCAAUUCUGCCCUAUAUCCUCCCUUUAUUGAGACCCCUGGCCGGAUUCAUUAUAGUCAUGGCUAUAGCCCCUUGCCUCAUUAACCGAGUAACCCGGUUUGUAAGGGCUCAGAUCUCUCAGGUAAAAGUUAUGGUGCUACGUCAACAAUAUGACCCCUUACCUAUACAGGACUUUUAGGAUUAAAAGUCAUUGGAGAAAUAAAAGGGGGGAAUGUGAGAGUCGACCCCCCUGCUACAACCCCCUCCCCAGAGCGGAGAAUGAAAGGGUUAACUCCCUAACUCCCCAGAGCGGGGAAUGAAAGGGUUAACUCCCUAACUCCCCAGAGCGGGGAAUGAAAGGGUUAACUCCCUAACUCCCCAGAGCAGGGAAUGAAAGGGUUGACUCCCUAACUCCCCGGAGCUCUCAGAACAGAGCAGUAAAGAGUGCUUCACUCCCUAAACCUUUCCCAGGAGAUAGUCAGAGCAGGGCCAAAAAGAA